UGGGGAAUAUUGCACAAUGGGGGAAACCCUGAUGCAGCGACGCCGCGUGAACGAAGAAGGUAUUCGUAUCGUAAAGUUCUGUCCUAUGGGAAGAUAAUGACAGUACCAUAGAAGAAAGCUCCGGCUAAAUACGUGCCAGCAGCCGCGGUAAUACGUAUGGAGCGAGCGUUGGCCGGAAUUAUUGGGCGUAAAGGGUACGCAGGCGGUUUAAUAAGUCGAAUGUUAAAGAUCGGGGCUCAACCCCGCAAAGCAUUGGAAACUGAUAAACUAGAGGAGUGGAGAGGAAAGUGGAAUUCCUAGUGUAGUGGUGAAAUACGUAGAUAUUAGGAGGAAUACCAGUAGCGAAGGCGACUUUCUGGACACAAACUGACGCUGAGGUACGAAAGCGUGGGGAGCAAACAGG
rnacentral:rRNA from 1 species